UAUGACACUGGGACGGUUAGGA
rnacentral:miRNA from 1 species